UACGGAGGGUGCAAGCGUUAGUCGGAAUUACUGGGCGUAAAGGGUGCGUAGGUGGGGAUGUAAGUUAGAUGUGAAAUCCCGUUGCUCAACAACGGCCGUGCAUCUGAAACUGCGUUUCUAGAGGGAUAGCGGAGAAAGCGGAAUUCCAUGUGUAGCGGUGAAAUGCGUAGAUAUAUGGAAGGAACAUCAGUGGCGAAAGCGACUUCCUGGACCAAUACUGACGCUCAUGUGCGAAAGCGUGGGGAGCAAACAGG
rnacentral:rRNA from 1 species